rnacentral:rRNA from 1 species
AUUGAACGCUGGCGGCAUGCCUUACACAUGCAAGUCGAACGGCAGCACGGGAGCAAUCCUGGUGGCGAGUGGCGAACGGGUGAGUAAUAUAUCGGAACGUGCCCAGUCGUGGGGAUAACGUAGCGAAAGCUACGCUAAUACCGCAUACGAUCUACGGAUGAAAGCGGGGGAUCGCAAGACCUCGCGCGAUUGGAGCGGCCGAUAUCAGAUUAGGUAGUUGGUGAGGUAAAGGCUCACCAAGCCGACGAUCUGCAGCUGGUCUGAGAGGACGACCAGCCACACUGGGACUGAGACACGGCCCAGACUCCUACGGGAGGCAGCAGUGGGAAUUUUGGACAAUGGGCGCAAGCCUGAUCCAGCAAUGCCGCGUGCAGGAUGAAGGCCUU